UCCAGCUCUGCAACAGUGUAGAUAUACCUGAGUUAAAGAACACAUAGGCCACUAUUCUGUCUUUGUCUACUUCCUGAAUGAGUGUUUCCACAACCAGCGCACACAGAGAGGACAGAACCAACACAUGCUGCAUGGAGACAAAGAGCAAAACACUUUUUACUUUUUCAGUUGUUGUGUUCAAUGUUUGCUCUGAGAACUUCCUGUCAAUGUAAUUCAUUAUGAGCUACUGCCUCUUCUGUAACAGCUCCCUUUUCUGUGGCCUGCAAAAAGAAAAGACCGGGAGAUAAAGAAGGAGAGGGCCAAUACAGAGUGAAGAAUAAUAGGUUCCUACAGGAGCGCGACCUCAUUAUAGCACAGCUCAGCUCCUGCCAGCUUGCGCUAUGAAUUUUGUACCUGAGCCCCAUCAUCGUCCCACCCCUGGGCCUGCUGGGUAGAAUCAUUGUCAUUCCCCUGCACAGGCUGAGAGCCAUCAGGUUGGCUACCAUCAUCAUCCCAGGUAGCCUGGGUACCAUCAUCGCCCCAGCCAGAGUGCCCAGGCUGGGUAC